AUUGAACGCUGGCGGCAGGCCUAACACAUGCAAGUCGAGCGGAUGAUGGGAGCUUGCUCCUGGAUUCAGCGGCGGACGGGUGAGUAAUGCCUAGGAAUCUGCCUGGUAGUGGGGGACAACGUUUCGAAAGGAACGCUAAUACCGCAUACGUCCUACGGGAGAAAGCAGGGGACCUUCGGGCCUUGCGCUAUCAGAUGAGCCUAGGUCGGAUUAGCUUGUUGGUGAGGUAAUGGCUCACCAAGGCGACGAUCCGUAACUGGUCUGAGAGGAUGAUCAGUCACACUGGAACUGAGACACGGUCCAGACUCCUACGGGAGGCAGCAGUGGGGAAUAUUGGACAAUGGGCGAAAGCCUGAUCCAGCCAUGCCGCGUGUGUGAAGAAGGUCUUCGGAUUGUAAAGCACUUUAAGUUGGGAGGAAGGGUUGUAGAUUAAUACUCUGCAAUUUUGACGUUACCGACAGAAUAAGCACCGGCUAACUCUGUGCCAGCAGCCGCCGCGGUA
rnacentral:rRNA from 1 species